CCUUUUACAAACAUCAGGAUGGUGGGGCUUAUCUCGUCAUUUCCAUUAUGUACCAGAAAUAUUAGCAGCUUUUUUCUGGACUGUGCCUGCUCUGUUUAGUCAUUUUCUUCCUUACUUCUAUGUAGUGUUUCUCACAAUCCUUCUCUUUGACAGAGCCAAAAGGGAUGGC